GACUAUAUCACGUUGAAACAUCGGUUCCUGUACAAUCACUGUAGUUAAGCUACGGCGUGCCUGGUCAGUACCAGGAUGGGUGACCGCUUAAGAAUACCGGAUGUUGUAAG